AUUGAACGCUGGCGGCAUGCCUUACACAUGCAAGUCGAACGGUAACAGGUCUUAGGAUGCUGACGAGUGGCGAACGGGUGAGUAAUACAUCGGAACGUGCCCAGACGUGGGGGAUAACGAGGCGAAAGCUUUGCUAAUACCGCAUACGAUCUAAGGAUGAAAGCAGGGGACCGCAAGGCCUUGCGCGUUUGGAGCGGCCGAUGGCAGAUUAGGUAGUUGGUGGGAUAAAAGCUUACCAAGCCGACGAUCUGUAGCUGGUCUGAGAGGACGACCAGCCACACUGGGACUGAGACACGGCCCAGACUCCUACGGGAGGCAGCAGUGGGGAAUUUUGGACAAUGGGCGAAAGCCUGAUCCAGCAAUGCCGCGUGCAGGAUGAAGGCCUUCGGGUUGUAAACUGCUUUUGUACGGAACGAAAAGGCUCUGGCUAAUACCUGGGGCACAUGACGGUACCGGAAGAAUAAGCACCGGCUAACUACGUG
rnacentral:rRNA from 1 species